UGAGGAAUAUUGGGCAAUGCCCGCAAGGGUGACCCAGCAACGCCGCGUGGAGGAUGAAUGUCGUAAGAUUGUAAACUCCUGUUAGAGGGGAAGAAUAGUACCGGUUGGACCGGUAUAUGACUGUACCCUCAGAGAAAGCCCCGGCUAACUACGUGCCAGCAGCCGCGGUAAUACGUAGGGGGCAAGCGUUGUCCGGAUUUACUGGGUGUAAAGGGCGCGCAGGCGGGAUAAAAAGUCAGUGGUGAAAUCCUACAGCUUAACUGUAGAACUGCCUUUGAUACUUUUAUUCUUGAGUUCGGGAGAGAGAGACGGAAUUCCAGGUGUAGUGGUGAAAUACGUUGAUAUCUGGAAGAACACCAGUUGCGAAGGCGGUCUCUUGGUCCGACACUGACGCUGAGGCGCGAAAGCGUGGGGAGCAAACA
rnacentral:rRNA from 1 species